UUUGUAUUCUUGCGUCUUUGCUGCAGUGCCGACCUUUUUUGCUGAUCACAUAUCUCAAAUGUUUGUAAGUGCCUAACUAGUACAAUAUAUUGAUUAUGUUAAAUGGUAUUGUUGAUUCUACAUUGGUCUAGAAGUAAGAUAUUAUUGUAUAUUGUUAUAUCUGCUCAGGGACUUUUGGAGAUGUGUUUUUCAGUUGGAACGAUUAUUGGACCACUUGCUGGUGGUUUUUUGCAUGAGGUGGGAUAUCAGUAGUUUAAAUAUUAACAACGAAAUCAGUAAAAAGUUGUUUCUUCAUUUUGUUUGACCAACUUCCAUGAUGCUCAUAAUAAUAACUUUUAUACUCAAAAACAAUCAGCUCUGUUACUUUGGUCGUUAUUUGUCAAAUGUUUAUUGGCAUAGGUUUUGGCAUUGGUUAUGUAGCUAGAUUCACUCAAGCAAUGCGAGAGAAAGAUUUAACCAGUUUUGCGGAUGAUCCUGAUGCCUCUGGAUUGAUAUGCAGUCUAUUUGUAUCUGUCCUUUCAUUAGGAUUUGCUCUUGGGCCUAUCAAUUGAACAGUUUAAAUUUCAACGAUCAUGUAUUCUCCUCGUAGGAAUAUCAUCAGCAACUCUUCUCCUGACUCUUGGUACAAUUAUUUUUCACAAAAGACGAUGAACCAUAAUUUUUGAUACACAAAUCAGUAAAUCUGUAAUGAAGCGAACCUUAAACCAAAUUAUCUUCAUGCUAAAUCAAUAACAGAUUCAUAAUUUAAAUAUAAGUGUUUCGAUGUUAUCCCAUGAAUCCCAUAAAAAGAUCUAUUGAUUAAAGUUAUUUUUAAAAUGUAAAUGAUGAAAAGCUCAGUGAUAAUUUUAGAGUCAAUCUUUUUACAAAUCAAAUGUUCAAAUUGAUCGCAAGUUUUUUUAUGACUAGUGGCCUCAUUGCCGAUAUUUUACUCUCUUGGUAACAAUGGAUUCCAAAAUUAUGGUUCAACAAUGUUGAUUGCUUACAAGACACAAAAGAUUUCAUUUUCUGGACCAACAGCAACUGAAAAAGAGACUACAAAUCGUUUGGAUUUACACCUUUAAAUCAUUAAAAAAGAGUCCAACAAUUUAGUUUCUUCCCAUUAUACCUUUUUUAUUGCUGUAUUGUUGUCACUGCAGUAUCAUUAUCUACAACUAAUUAAGCCUCAUUUGAUAGUUCAUCAUCACCAUCAUUAUCAUCAUUUUCCACACUUAAUUGAGACUUGAUUGUAUUUCACUAUCAUAAUUAUAAUAUCAAGAGUAAAAGAUGAAAUGUCACUGAUGACCUCAACUGAAAUGUAAAUGUUGCUUGUUUGAAAUGCGCGGGUUAACCUAACCUUUCCUUUAUGCACAUUGUUUACCAUUUCAUCGAUGUACAGUUAAUGGUUUACUAAAAUCAUAUUUAAUCAAUUGGUUUAUGUUAACAAAUUUUUUCACUAACAAUCAGUUAUAAAUACAAAUGGUUAACAUUGACAUAGUCUCUCUACUUUUCCUGUUUCCCUGUUUGUUUGUACAGGUAUUUAUAACCACAUGUUUGAUUACAUUAAGAUUUGGAUAAGCAACUCAUAAAGAUAAUGCGGAUUAAUUUGGCUAUACAAAAAUGGAUCGUUCUUUUGGUGCAAUUUGGAUAACAAGCAAGGAUCAAACGUUUAGGUUAAAACCAGAAGAAUCGCUGAUUAAUUGGAUUGACUCGCCUUUGUUGAUCAUAAUUGAUUGGAUUCAUAUUUUACGAUUGUAAUGGUGGCCAUUAGACCUGUCCAACCCAUCAAUCCGGAAACAAUCCACGCUCAUGUUUACUUCCUACGCUUCAAAGAGGAUCAAGUUGAAUUUAUAAAUGAACUCGGUUAGCCAUUUGGAAAGGCUGUGUUGCUGUUCAUCUAUAGCAAUUAUACAUUCAAUUGAAGUUACCUUGUCGGUUCACUCAAUCAAAACCAAAUUAAUGAUUACUACUGCUUAUUACCAAUGUAAGAUUUGGAUAUUACAUUGAAAUAUUGCAAAAAGAAAAAGGUUAAGGAAACAAUAACUAUUCAGUACUAUGAUAAUGAUGAUGAUGACUUUUCAAACCAUACUAAUAAUAGUAUACAAUUGCAUCAGAAUUUACGUUUGAACUUCCAGAAUAUUCUGUAAAAUCAGGGAAAGACAAGUUAAACAAGAAGAGGAAAGAAAAAGCAAACUCAUGAAAAAAUCAUCCUUAUCUUCACCAACAUCAUCAUCAUCAUUGUAUUAUUUGUACCUUACAAUCAGAAACAAGUUGAAACAAUACAAACCCAGGCAGCUUUAACUUAACCAGAUCUUGACCAGAAAAAAAAGAGUAGAAGAAAGAUCGAGUAAAAUGAUUUGGUAACUUUAAUUGUAAUGUUAAUUGUAAAAAACAUGGUAAGAUGAUUCAGGAAAAGGAUUGAAAUAGGAAAAUGAGUAAAUUUAUAUAUAUCUGUGUUAAUAUUGAUCGAUCAUCAUCAUUAUUUAGCUAUUUUUUUUCCUUGUUUUCUUCUUUCUUUCUUUUUCGUUACGAAUUUUCUUGCCAAUGUAAAAGCUUCGAACUCUCAGGUCAAUGAUCUAUGAGAGAAACCAGGAACUAAGGCUGGAACCAAGUUCAAGGAUCGCUCACAGAACUCUGGAAUAAUAGUUAUCAUCAUAAGUUCAUUCCGAGUCUGCGUUCAAUUGAAAAAAAAAGAGAUUCAAAGUGAGAUUUGAAACAUACCAAGGACAUAAAGGAUGAUGUUGAUGAUGACGACGAUGAUGAUGAUAAAGAAGACAGAGAAGGAAAAGAGUAACACAAAUAAUCAUCUGGACUCUUUUCCUGUUACAACGAAAGCAAAGCUAAACAAAUGGAAAGGUAAAGAAUCAGAUGGAAUCUACGAAUUUCUUCUCCAUUCUUUUUCCAUGGAUUUUUUUCUUCUUCUCAUCAUUAUUGUCAUCAUUUUACAAAGUAAUCUGUAACAUGAGUUUAGUCUAAUUUGUGUACAAACACAAUCUCAUGAGAAGCAGAAAAAAUGUCGACAGAAAAAGAUGGAAAAAGAAGGAAUAAGAAGAUAUUGGGACAUUGAGACUUCGUAGACUCGUUAUCUUUUUUUUAUCAUCUCUUCUCUCUCUCUCUAUCUUCCUCUUUGAAACUGUACCAAAAACGUAUUUGAUCGAUGGACGAAAAGGUUAAUGAACCCUUAAGUUCGACUUUCGUUUCUUUCGUUUUCUUCCGGAAACAGUUUCAUUCUUUUCUUUCUCAGCUUCGUUUCCUAUUCUAUUCUUUCUUCCUCCUUCUUAACCAUAAUCAUCAUAAUGAUCAUCUUGUUUAUCUUGCCUUAUCUUCAUCCUCAUCUUCAUCUGCAUCUUUAUCCUCUUCAUUAACUGAGAACUCAAAACAUCUUUUUAAAUAUGAAAACAUUUACAUUAUUUUGGCUUCUUCCUUCAACAACAACAACAAUUUAAUGAAACAAAAAUAUUAACAAAAGACAAUUCUAAAUUGUCAUCAUCAAACCUUGAUAAUUAACAUUAACAAUCAUUACAAUUUACUUCAUUAGAUAGCAAACCAUUCACUUGUCCUGAUUUGUAAUGAUGGUUGAAACAUCGUUAAGACUUGAAUCAAAAUUUUCAACCCAAAUUCAUGUUAACAUCAUGCCUGAGUCUUAUGUGUUUAUAACACUGAAUUGUUACGUCUUAAUCAUCAUGUAAUAAUAAUUAACAUAAUCUAUAUUAAUCUAGAUGUGACCUUUAAGGUCAAGUAAAUAAAUGGAUCAAAUUUUGGGUUAUAAAUUGGUGCAGUGGAGGAAGAAAAAACAAACAUUUAAUUAUUUUUUGCUGCUUAAUCUCAACCUAUUUGUUGGUAUUUGUUUACAUUUUGCUGGUUCACAGAAAAUCCAGAGUCUCUUUCUUUUUUUCCUCUCUUUCUAUCUCUAGUUUCCCUGAAUCCGGAAGAAUGUUCAGAAUAUCUGUCUUCUAGUAAGAAAAAAGCAGGGUGACAAAAAAGACAGAGACAAAAGGAAAAGAAAGAAGGAAAAAGGAAGACAAAAAGAUGAUGUUUAACAUCACAAAUCGAUUUGCCUGUUAACAUACAUCUGAAGUUUCCAUGCGUCUUCAUGAUUCCAUCGUUUCCAUGGUUUUAUCAACUGUGUGUAUAAACAUGAAAAGAUAUCCAUCAUUUUAUACCAUUUAUAAUACAAUAUUAUUGGUAUGGAGAGCGAGAAAAUAUAAUAACAACCAUUAUCAUUGAAUCCAUUAAAACAUUAACUGCUUUUUCAACUUUCCUGAUUAUCUUAUAAUAUCUCACGGGAAUCCUUCAACAAUCUAUUAAUUGUCAACAUAAAUAAUAGAUAAAUGUGUGAAGCAAGAUAUAAUUAGUACAAUUAAUAAUUGGCAUUGCUUGAAAUAACCAAAAAAAGGUCCAUCUCUUUGAACCAGAAAUAAAAUUAUGCAUUUCCUAGUUGAACAUUGAUUUUUAUUUGUCAGGCAAAAAGCAAACCUUACCAAAGUCAUUCUUAAUCUUACCCAUUUUGUUUGUCACAAUGAGCAAGUUAAUCAACCAUAAUUAACCUAAUCACUUGUUUACUUACCUUGUUUAAGAUGGUAAAAGAUACAACUUGAAAAGGUUUCACCAGAUUAAAUUGUUCCAACAAUUGUAAAAACAUUUGUUUUUACAUUCAAAUUGUCUUUUAAAUUGGAUCAAAUUGAAACAGUUGAUAUUUGCAUAAUCAUUGACAUAGUUGAUUGUCAUUGUGAAUGAUUAUUGUUUGUCUGCUUUUUAAAUUAAAUCAAAAAUCUUGUCCAUGUAAACAUUAAUAUUGUCAACAUACAAUUCUGGUAAUCAUUGUGACAUAAUUCAUGAGCAUACAUUGUUCAUAUUGUAUCACAAUGAGACUGUGAAGGAAACAAAUUCACUUUCUGUUAAUCAAUUGACAGUUAUAACAACAGCAACAAUUGAUAUAUUUAUCAAUGAAAAAUUGAUUCUCUUGUUAUCA